UGAGCAAUCUGCCCUCAGCUCUGGGACAACUCCGGGAAACCGGGGCUAAUACCGGAUACGACCUUCCCUCGCAUGGGGGUUGGUGGAAAGUUCUUCGGCUGAGGAUGGGCCCGCGGCCUAUCAGCUUGUUGGUGGGGUGAUGGCCUACCAAGGCGACGACGGGUAGCCGGCCUGAGAGGGCGACCGGCCACACUGGGACUGAGACACGGCCCAGACUCCUACGGGAGGCA
rnacentral:rRNA from 1 species